rnacentral:rRNA from 1 species
CAAUAGCGUCUAUUAAAGUUGUUGCAGUUAGAACGCUCGUAGUCGGAUUUCGGGGCGGGCCGACCGGUCUGCCGAUGGGUAUGCACUGGUCGGCGCGUCCUUCCUUCCGGAGACCGUCCCUACUCUUAACUGAGCGGGGGCGGGAGACGGGACUUUUACUUUGAAAAAAUCAGAGUGUUUCAAGCAGGCAGCUCGCUCUUGCAUGGAUUAGCAUGGGAUAAUGAAAUAGGACUUUGGUGCUAUUUUGUUGGUUUCGAACACCGAAGUAAUGAUGAGAAGGGACAGUCAGGGGCACUCGUAUUCCGCCGAGAGAGGUGAAAUUCUCAGACCAGCGGAAGACGAACCACUGCGAAAGCAUUUGCCAGGGAUGUUUUCACUGA